rnacentral:rRNA from 1 species
GACGAACGCUGGCGGCGUGCCUAAUACAUGCAAGUCGAACGCAGUGGGGACGGGUGAGUAACACGUGGGUAACCUACCAUCAGAGGGGAGAAAACUUGGAAACAGGUGCUAAAACGAUACUGAUGGAUGGAACCGCGGUGCAUUAGCUAGUUGGUGAGGUAACGGCGCACCAAGGCCACGAUGCAUAGCCGACCUGAUAGGCUGAUCGGCCACACUGGGACUGAGACCCGGCCCAGACUCCUACGGGAGGCAGCAGUAGGGAAUCUUCGGCAAUGGACGAAAGUCUGACCGAGCAACGCCGCGUGAGUGAAGAAGGUUUUCGGAUCGUAAAACUCUUUUGUUAGAGAAGCGGUAUCUAACCAGAAAGCCACGGCUAACUACGUGCCAGCAGCCGCGGUAAUUC